GACGAACGCUGGCGGCGUGCUUAACACAUGCAAGUCGAACGGUGAAGCGCCUUCCUUUUUGGUGGGUGUGGAUGAGUGGCGAACGGGUGAGUAACACGUGAGUAACCUGCCCCCUUCUUCUGGAUAACCGCAUGAAAGUGUGGCUAAUACGGGAUAUUCUGGGUCUGUCGCAUGAUGGGUCUGGGAAAGAUAUUGUUUCGGUGGGGGAUGGGCUCGCGGCCUAUCAGCUUGUUGGUGGGGUGAUGGCCUACCAAGGCGGUGACGGGUAGCCGGCCUGAGAGGGUGGACGGUCACACUGGGACUGAGACACGGCCCAGACUCGUACGGGAGGCAGCAGUGGGGAAUAUUGCACAAUGAGCGCAAGCCUGAUGCAGCGACGCCGCGUGAGGGAUGGAGGCCGUCGGGUUGUGAACCUCUUUCGCCAGUGAAGCAGGCCUGCCUCGUAUGUGGGUGGGUUGACGGUAGCUGGAUAAGAAGCGCCGGCUAACUACGUG
rnacentral:rRNA from 1 species